AUGGGGCAGGCGUCUAAGCGACUUCCGGUGAGGUUGCAAAUUUCGUUCUCCGUCAACAUGGUUUUCAGCGGUGGUUUGGCAUUGGGCCGCGAGAUCCUUCUCGGCGCACUCGUUUUCAUCGCCGACGACUCUGCCUGGCUUCAAGAAGCUCCCCUCAAUGUUGAGGCCCUCGCCGUUCGCAGGGCGACGCACUUCCGUGCGAGUGCUUGCGGUGUUCUUCUUCGACAGUCACCGACCCAGUAUCGGCUGGCUCUUGUGUCAUCAUCACUCCCCGCCGUCCGCCGUCGCAAGCGGUCCGGCCGUUCGCGGCUCCAACUGUGGGUGAAGCAUGCGGUGGCUCGUCAAUCGGCCACCCCUCAAGUUGCGGCGAUUGAGCCCGAUGAAUAUCUUUACGAUCUGUUCGAUCUGCCGACUGGUCACUCGGAUUCCCUGUCCGAGUGCGAGAGCAAUAAUUCAGCGGCAGAAGUCCUCGUGGUUAACUCCCAGCAUGGUCCGCCUGGAUUUUGUCGCAACGGCGGUGGCGGCGACGACGGCGGUGCUGGCCCGUCACAAGAUAAUGAUGAGUAUGUUGCCGAGGCCCUCACUGCGGAGCAGAGCGAAGAGCUGCAUCGUCACAACGUCCAGGCGCUCCAGACCCCCAUCAUUGGGGAGACCUUAGAGGCUCGGGUCUUGGAGGCUGCGCGCUUGGCCACCUUGGCCGAGCGUACGCAUUUGAAGAAUCUGCAGAAGGCACUCGACGAGCGCGCUCGUCAGCGGAUCCCCGAAUCCAGUCAACGCGCGCGACGGUUGUUUUCGACUAAAACUCGGGUAUACCAUACUUCGAUCCAAAAUGUUGCAGCAGUAGCACGCAUAGCAGAGUCAAUUCAGCUGUCACGUUCAGAAGCUGGUAGAGGUUUGGAGCAGAUCCGAGCAUUGCUUUAA
rnacentral:rRNA from 1 species